AACCUGCAGGUAAAUCCACCCAUCUGUAGGGAAAUCCACCCAGCUGUGACCUGACUGCCACCACGUGAGAACCUGCAGGUCAUUGCAGAUGGCCAGGGAAGGCAUUAACUAAUUAGCAGAAUGUGCUCUGAAUCUUGGGAUCAGCUUGGGAUGAAGGCUUACGUUCUCAGGCAGCAGAGGUCUGCACCCCAGCUCUCCUUGUCGCAGCACCCGCCACUGCCUCCCACAGAUGCUGCCAGCCGGACAUCCGAAUUGUGCCUCCCUUACUCGUCUGAAACAGAGGCCAGUCAGGCAGGCAGCCACAGGGAGGUUAAAACCUGGCAAAUAAGUUCCACUCUGCUCCUUCCGGCCUGAGGAAGGAAACUGGGAAUUCAAGCCCUUCCCCUCAACUGCUCUGUGCUGUGCUGGAGGGUGAGGACAAGGUUGUGAGUGGGUUCCUGUACGCCGGCUCAAAAGGCGAUGUCCACACCAAGAAACCACGCAAGAUGGGGACUGAGCUGCCCCAAACAGAAGAAGAGGAAGCGGGCGGUAACGCUGGCAGUGUGGCUGCCCCUUAGCCUACCUGCCUCUUUGCUAAUCUUGUACUCCUCUAUAGUUGGCCAGGUUGAUUCUGUUAGUGCUCAGCAUGUAUAUCGGGCUUAUGUUCCCUAUCCCCCCCACUUUUUAAGGCAGCAUCAUGGGGAGAGCCUGACGUCCUCGUCUAUACUAAUGAUUCCAAAUGGAUGCCACCUCCAUUUCAAUAUCAGUCACCGCAUCCUGAGGACGAAGGGGGGUAGUUUUCAAUUAUUCCACUUAUGCUCAAAGCUACCCCGUUUGCCUCGGGGCCGGGGAACAGUGCUUAACACUCUCAUAUCAAGCAUGAGGUUUGCGAUUUAAUUCCUCCUCGUUUGCUAUCCGCACUAUAUUAUUAUCCACCAAAGGUUUUAAGGGGGUAAUGUCUAAUUUGAGUAAAAGACCUCCCCCCUUACCACUCUGCUCCAUGCCUCAUCUUAAACCUCCUGUAGCUCAUUUUGAUUGGAGCGUAUGUAGAGGUAAAGUUCUAAAAGAAGUACACAGUAAUCCUAAGAUUGUUGACUGGAGCCCCUAUGGCCACUUUAAGGAAAAGUGUUCUGCUCACUCCUUACGCUGGCGUGUUUAUGAAGACACUGUCGAGGCCAUUGCCAACGACGGUUAUCUGGCAUGAUAAAGGCCCUUCCCCUCCACAGCCUCACUUACUCGGGGCGUCAGAAAAACAAGGGCACAUCUGGAAACUCUUGGCUACAGGAGGAAACCUUAAAAUCUGGGUGGGGAAUAUGUCCUCAGAUGAGAAGGGAGGCGUAAAGUACACCUCCAGCGUCGCCAUUCUAAACCUUUACUGGCAUGCGUUCCUUAUCCUUAUCUUUUACUCGUGGGAACUGUUUAUUGGAAUCAGUCUACAGGACAGUUGACUUGCCCUGGAAAUUGUGCUCUAUUUACUUGUGUAAACUUCACUCCAUGGGCUACUUUUAACAGAUCCUUACAUAGUCUAUAUAUCCUCAAGGCUCGUACAGAGAUAUGGUUGCCUGUUUACCUUUCCCGACCUUGGGGCGAUUCAGCCCUGGUCACCAGUCUUUUAAAUAAAAUAACUUCUCUGGCUGGUAGAACACAAAGAGUCAUUGGGCUGAUAAUCACGGCAGUCGUUGGCUUAAUAGCGAUUGCUUCCUCAGCUGCUGUCGCCGGGGUUGCUCUACAUCAUUCUGUGCAAACGGCUGAUUUUGUUCGUAAGUGGCAUGAAGAUUCGCAUAAAAUAUGGCAACAUCAGCAAGAAAUUGAUACUCGCCUGGAAGGCGAAAUUAUUCAGUUGCAGAAUACAGUUCAGUGGCUGGGAGACCAAAUUCAGGUUUUGACAACUCAAUCUUUUCUCCGUUGUGAUUGGAAUUCUUCCCGUUUUUGUGUCACUCCUAUUCCUUUCAAUAGUAGUCGACAUUGGAUGUCAUUAUGAAAAUUGUUAAAUGGAGGCCAAAACCUAACUGGUGACCUCCAAAAAUUAGAACAAGAAAUCACCUCUGCUUUUCAAAACAAUCUGCCGGAUUUUCAUAAUGAUGAGUUCUUUUCUGGCCUGGCCAGUGGAUUGUUGCAGGUCUACCCUUUGGCUUCAUUAAAAACUAUGCUUAGUAGUAUUGGGAGUAAAUUGGGUGUUCUCCUUGUAUUAUGUUUUGUGCUGUUAAUCUAUA